UAUUAGACUUAUCCAAGUGGGAGACUGUUGGAUUAGGUGUCUAAGCCUAUAACUAUAAUUGGUAUGUACUUGGUUUGACGGUAGCAUGGUCCUUUUUGGGUUGCCUUCACUCAUGCAACUUGACAGGAUGACAAGUGGAGAGAGAGUAGGAUUUAUUAUUUGAAAUAACAAAUUGGUACACAAAAUGAUUUGAUUAAUAUAUUAUAAUAUUAAUAUAUUAUUUGGAAAUCAUAUUAUUAAUUAGUAAUUAAUUUGAUAUUAAUUUUGGGAUUAAAGGAACUGAUUAAUAAUGGAGGGGUUGUUUUGCAAAUCAUUGAUAGUUGCAAAACUGGGUUGAUGGACUCCUUAAUUAGGAGUGUACGGAAUCAUAUAGGGAGGCCCUAUAGAUUUCGUCCAGGGCCUCAUAAGGAAGAGUCUAUGGGCUGCUUACGCCUUAAGCAGGAAAUUAAGGUUUCCAACUGAAAACCCUAGCAUCCCUCAACUAUAUAAACCCCCAAGACAUGGGAUUUUCAGCCUAUGCAUAAAAUACAUAACCCUAGCCAUUUUCAUUGUCUCUCCAACUCAUCCUAUUGCAUUGGGUGUUUGUGACUCCAUUAGAGGUGCAACACUUGGGGCACUAAGCUUUCAAGAGUCAAGGAUAUCCAAGGUGUUCUUGUUAUUGCUACAUAACAAGUAAGGUAAUUUUCUAACCCUAUUUUGUACAUAAAUUUCGAAUUGUAUGUUUGUUUCUAUGGUUAUUGCUUUUGUAUUCAAUUUACAUAUUCAAUUAGUGGAAAACUUAGAUCCAAAGCAAUUAGGGUUGCAUGAUCACAUAGGAAUGUAGAUAUGCUCAAAACCAUCGGUAUUAUUCAUAAUAUGGCAUAAAUGAUGGAUUCAUUUUCCAAGCAAAUUGAAUAUAAAUUAUUUCAGCUAGUUCAAGCCUAUAAACUAGGCCCUUUUGAGGAUGGCUCAAAACUUAGUGCCCUGUGACAAUACCAAGAUUCCUCCAUAGGAAUUUUGUAUCUUGAUCCCUUUCAAGAUAUUGUCCAUAUAUGCAUAAAGGUUUAACACUUUUAACAAUUAUUUUAUCUAUCUCUAUGGAUUUUACAUUCCAAGAAUGUAUCUUGUCCUUCCCAAGUCUUUCAUUUUAGAAACACAUUUCGAGUCAAGGUGAAAAAUCAUGUCAUGGUCAUAAUUUAAUUUCUUAUGAUUAAGUAUGUCUCAUUCAUACAAGAUUAGAAAUGUCACUAUGCUCCCACUAGAUCUUAGUAAACACAUAUGUUCCAUUCAUAAUGAUAUAAAAGCAUACCUUGUGGUUUUGAUGUUAAAAUGAUGAUUGCAACAUUAAGAUGUUUACUUUAUAUCCAUACUUGGAUCUCAAGAUCUACACAUUUUGUUACGAUAACAUGGAUUAAGAAACCUACAGGCUAAUCUAUAUAGAUAUCUUCUAGUAGAUGUAUAUUAAAAAAACAGUCUUUCUUGAAAUUUAUUUGCUAUGUUUCAUAUUGAGAAUAUGAAUUUAUAGUAAACAAUAUCCUUGUUGAUCUAAUCGUAGCUGAUUGUGAAAAGGUUUGAUGAUAUUCAAUGUCAUGAGUAUGAUAAAGACCAUAGUCAAUGACAUGAGUAUGAGAAAAUCCUUUUAUAACAAGUCUUGCUAUAAAUGUAUAUAAUCAUCCAUAUAAUGUAUUCUUUCUAGAAGAAUUACUUACUCCUUCUAUCCUUUCUAUAGAGAGGAAGUUCAAUCAAGACCAUACUUGAUUAUCAUACAUGGAUUAUGUAACGCCCCAAUUCCGGUAUGUUAUUUAAAUAUUAUUUUUCGAUUUUUCAAGAGGGACUCGACGAGUCAGCAGCCCGAAUCGUCAAGUAGAGACGGGAUUUCGAGCACGUGUAAGUAGGCGACUCGACGAGUCCAUAUCCUGGACUCGGCGAGUCCAUCAGUCUGAAUGAAACUGUAAAUCCCCGGGUUUUGCACCCUAUUUAAACCAUGUUAUGAGCCCCAACCUCGUCUCCUUCACCCUCAGAGCAUCAUCUAGUGUAUCUUUUGAAGUUUGGAGAAAAGAAAGAAGGAAGGACUAAAGGGGAAGGUGAAGAGCAAGGAUCUAGAGUCCAAUUCAGAGUUUAUUGAGGUAUAAUCCGAAUCUCUUCUGUUUCUAUGAUGAUCUUCUAUUAGAAAUCCCGUUUAGGCCAUUUUUAUCCACUUCCUAGCUUGAUUGUAGUGGAGAGAUCAUAUUGAGUUGGAUACCUAGUGGAUAUAGCUAGGUUUGAGCUUCAAAAGCUCAGAUCUACCAUCUUUAUGAGCCUAAUUCGUGUAUAAACCCUAGAUCUACUCUUUUAGUCUCUGCUAAGCCUUUUGAUUCCCUUUUUAUGCAUAUGUGCACAUAAAGUUGGAAACUUUAUGUGAUAAUCAAGCCUUAAGAACCCAGAUGUAUAAGUUGUGUGCAUUGGAUUUGAGCAGAAUCGAUUGUAUGGAAGUUGCAUGCAACCGACUCGGCGAGUUGCGUCGCGAGUCCCCGAUUUUUCCCCUUCAUAAGUUAUGCCGGGUGCAACCAGUGAGUUGUAGGUGGACCCAGUGAGUCGGAGGUCAGACUCAUUCAUGGAAGGACUCGGUGAGUCAAUGCCAUGACUCGGCGAGUCCAAGGCAAUCUUCAUAUCUCAAGAACAGACUCGGCGAGUUGUUCAUACAACUCGGCAAGUCACAGUCAGAGUGUUCAUGUGUUGAAGGAGAACUCGACGAGUUGUUCUUGCAACUUGGCGAGUCGGAUGCAAAUUGACUUGUGAUAGCAUCGAAGAGGAACUCUUUGAGUCUAUGCCAAACUCGACGAGUAGUAGCGAGCAGAAAUGAGAAAUGAGAGUAGGGACUCGACGAGUUGGCGGCCCAACUCGACGAGUCGGGUCAACUGUAGGUUGACUUUGACCAAGAGGUUGACUUUGACCAGGGGUAAAAUAGUCAUUUUACCCUCGGUAUGGUUAUCAGUAUUUGAUUGAGUGUACUUAUGAAAAUUAUAGUCGGGGAGGUACCGGAGUAGGAGCAGACAAUUUCCAGAGCAGUUCUUUCAGCAGCCAGAUUGUGAGGUGAGUCACCUUCCAGUAGGAACGGGUCUACGGCCACAAUGUCGGCCCGUUUAGUUAGCAGUAGUUUCCAGAUUUCGGUCCGAUGCAGUAGUUAGUGUGUUUGAUGUCUUCGUGGCUCAGACAGGAUUAUGUGUUAUAUGUUUAGAGGUAUGGCACGAUAUAGUAUGCAGUAUAUGUGUUUAUGAUAGUUGAUAUGUGUUUAUGCUAUGCUAUGUUCCGUUAGUUUCGGACUUCGGUCCGAUGCAGGGGACAAGGUCCCAGUCAGUUUCGGGCUUCGGUCCGAUGCAGAGGGAAAGGCCCUAGUCAAUUUCCGGACCCCGGUCCGAUGCAGUUUCCAGACUUCGGUCCGAUGUAGUGGGCAAGGCACAGUAUGUGAUUUAUAUGUUAAUGUAUGGUAUGUGGUAGUUUGAGGGAGCUCACCAAGCUUCGUGCUUACACUUUCAGUUUUGGUUUCAGGUACUUCCGCAAGUAAAGGGAAGAGCUCGGGAUGAUGGCAUCGCACACACCACAGCUUCAGUUAUUUUGGCCUGGGAGUUUGUUUUGAUACUUAGUUUUGAAUUGAUACAGUUUAGCACGACAUUUUAUUAUGGCUUGAGAUAUUUGACGUAUGGUUUUUAUGAUGUGACGUUCAGUAUAUGAUUUUCAUUAUUAUUAAAACAAAAAUUGUUGGGUGGUAUUUUGGGAUGUUUUAGAUUACAUCUCAUUUUCAUGACUCUAAGCCAUUAAUCAGAAUUAAGAUCUGACAUAGCAUCUUGGUAUUUGAUGGAUUUGAAAGAAACCGUCAAGAAAAGCUCAUCAAUGAGAGAUUCCACAUUUCUCAAGUCAUAGACGAUUUCUACCACUAAAGCGAACAAUUUGUGUUUGUGAAUAGUUAUUAUUCAUGUUUAACAAUCCCUUGUUAAAACUAGUGCCAACUAUUACUACAUCAGGUAAUAAUUCUUGAGCUGCUUCAAGUUCCAUGUACCUCCCACUUGCUUUGUCAUUAGAAGCUUGAUUUCUGCUAACUCAACUAUCAAAGGAAUAAGAAAAACUUAUUCUUGGUGGGUUUGCUUAUAAUAAUCUAACCUACAUUUAGAGUAUUAUAUGAAAAUAUGUAUUUAGUACAUUUUGGGUUUAAAAGCUUUAGUCCAACAUAUGCUUUAAAUCCAUAAAAGAUUUAAUAAGAUAGGGAUAGAGCCCUUCCAUACAAAAUCUUAUGAAGAAAAUGUUAUAUCUACUAGUUAGUUGGUGUUUGUACUUAAGGUACAAUUGAUAGUGUUCUAGGUGUUAUCCCAAGGAAUUAAAAUGAGGAUAUUUCUACUGAUUAGAAAGUAAAUCAUACUAAGUAAGAUUUCAUUCAUCAUUUAUUAUCAUUAAGGCCUUGGAUAGUUCUUACCAGUUUGUAUUUCAACUUUAUAUUUGGAAACUUAAACAAAAGUAUCACAAUUAUGCUUUACCAUGUAAAAUAUAAUUGAAACUACUAUAGUUAUUAAUGAAGUUAAUUUGGUAUCUUGUUCUAAAUCUUAGACAUUCAUUAGAAAGGAAAUCAUACACCAUAGUGUAUGGUUCCUUAAUAAUUAUUUUCUCUACUACUUAGUGAAAAUAACAUUAUGAAUCUUUUAUGUAUAAAUAAGAUAUACAUAUGUCAAAUAAAGUACAUUAUUUUACUUCAAAGAUCCCUUUCUUGAAGUUAGAAUAUGUGAAAUUCAUUUAUAUAAUAAUGAUAACAAUGCCAAAGAUGAGUUUGAUUUAAAACAAGUUUAAGUCAAAAGUAUUUUGCAUAUAGGACUUGUUAUUUAUAUAACAUUGAUAUUUGUUUUAUAAUUCGAAUCAAUAGAUCUAGUCUCAUAAAAGAAUUUUAAUCAUUUUCGAAUAUGAUGGUGAUUGUUAUGAAAAACGAUUUAAGUAAAUAGCCAAUCAUUCAUAAAUUAAAUUGAGACAUAUAUUUAGGAAAGCUAAAUUAAAACAUACAUUAUUCCGAAAAAACAUUGUUUCAUAAUACAAGUGAAUUAUGUUCCUAGCAUGAUUAAUAAACUAAACUCUGAGAAUGUAGUUCCAACUUGAUUGUGCUUAGCUGGUUACUCUUCAGUAAAUAUUUGUAAGCCAGUUGCAAAUAUUAGAUUAACAUUUAAGUACCAAGUACCUAAGUGUUAUAUGAAAAGUAUGAGUUCUAUCUGUAGAUAAUUGAAGUACUAGUCUCUUCCAGACUUUCUUUCCAGAUAAGAGGAGAAAACUCUCUUCUAGUGUCCAGUUUCUCAACAAAGGAAACAAGAUCCAUCUAUGCGAGCCUUAUUGGAUUUCUUGGUCUUAGAGGUGUUCAGUCCAUAUAACAUGGGCCUCUUAGAUCACACAAGGUGACUCUUUUGGGCCUUGUACUAUUCCUAGUUUGAUGUUAGAAACAUCUUCAACAUCACAGUGAUGUCUUUACUAGGUAUCACAUUCAUGCUUAUUGCUCAAAUCAAAUAGAUUAGGAUAUGGACCUUUAAGUGUAUAUAGUUUCAUAUCUCCCACGAGAUUGUCUGUUAAGAAAUGAACCCACUCAUUAAAGUUGUAUGUAUUGAAUGUUAUUGUUUCAUUAAGUCAUUAAAGAAAAUGACAAUUUCUUGGUAAUGAGAAUGGAUUAUUAACUAAAAAAUUUUAACAAAAUUCAUUUAGUAUUUUCAAUAUUUAAACUCUAUAAUAAUUAAUACCCUUUUAGUUUCUAAAAACAUUAAUUAUCAAAGUCCAGGAUCCAAGUUGCAAAACAAAUAAAUGGUUAGGUAUCCUUUAUCCCAUUCAUUUGAAUUCAACCUGGUUGAUAUCAAUUGUCAAUUAUAUCUCACUAUAUAAUUCCUAAAUUUAUGGGAUCACUAAUAACAAAUUUAAUUAGACAUGUUUGAUAUCAUCUAUGCCUCAAAACUCUCUUGCUUAGGAUUCCGAACAAAUCAUCGAAUUUGAAAAAUUUGUGUAAUCGAACAAUAACUUGGUUAUAGAAAUUGCAAAGACACUCUGACCAUCAAAAGAUAACACUAACGGUUUGGUAUCCUUUAUCCCACUAGUGCAUACAAGAGAUAUGUGAGUGUUCUUCAAAAUGGAUUGCAUAGAUUUAAGGUUUGUAAAAUGGUCUUUUAUAUGUUUUAUAAUUCUAGUUUUAAAAACAUAUGAUACCGUAGUUAUUACAUGCAAAUAAUAAACCAUGGUUCCAAUUUUCAAAAGAAAAUCACAUUUUAAAGGUUCUAUAUAAAAAGCUAGUUUUUAUAUAAUUCGACGCGAUUCAAUUUUAAUAACCAAUAUUAAAUUUUGAGUGCAUUUGAACCUUUUAUAUCUUCAACAAAACUUCCUUCUAUUACUUAUAUAUUUGGAGUUUGUAUAGGUUAUAAAAAUCUCCAUUUCAAAACUUAUAUUUAAUUAUUUCAUAAUUUGAUGUUAUUAACGUUUUCAUUAAACCAAAUUUUAUUUUGAAAAAAUAACUUGUUACAUCUUAUGUCUAGAUUAUAAAUUUUGAAAACCAAACUCCAUGUGAUGUUUAUUUUGUCUAAAAUUAUUUUAACAUGUGAAAAACUAAUUUAUCAACUACACAUAAUAAUUGCAUAAAAUAAACAACACAAACAUGCAUAAAAUUAUAUGUGCAUAAACAUAACCAACUAAUGACAUUUUUUGUGAGCCAAUACAAAAAUGCCAAGUCCAUUCCUAAAGGAACUUUUUAAGGGGAGCAAAAAUUUUCUUGUAAUGUUGUUGUAGAAGCUCCAACUUAAAAAAAAACAUAUAUUGUUUGCAACAGAUUGGAAAAACUUCUUUAAAGCAAUAUAUCAACAAUAUGCAACACUUUUCAGAAAAGGGUGCAGAAAAGGUUGCAUUAGAUCCAAUAGCUCCAAGGAAAGCUGUCAACACCUUUUGCAACAGAUUGCAGAAAAGGUUGCCUUUGUCCCUGCACACCUCUAAACCUCGAAAAUUGUCUUAUUGUUUUCCAAAAAUGGCUCCAACUUCAUUUCUUGUUACAUUUUUGUACAAAUAAAUUAUUUCUAACAACAAAUCUAUUAUUUACAAAAAUUAACCAAGAAAACUAACGUAUUUAAUUUGUUACAUACCAUAUGAAUAAAUAAAUUAUUACAACUAUUUUAUAACAAAAACAACCAACUCAACAACACAACAAACACAAUGGUCCUUGGAUAGCUUAUGCACACCAUACGUAUCAACAUCCACAUAAAACAACCUUUGUUUUUCUAAGACAACCUUAAAUGACAAAAGAUGCACGAAAACUUUUGUCACAUAAAAUAUCAAGUAUAAAUAUGUCAUAGAAAAUAUGUAUGAACUUGUUUUUACACAAAACAAAUUUGUCCAUAUUCUCCAAAAACUAAGAUUUCCAAAAAUCAUAAAAUCUAACUAAACUUUCAAGGUGGCUUUUGAUACCAAUUUGUAACGCCUGUAGAUCUGGGCUAGUCAAUUUAAGGACAAUGAGCGUCACAAAUGACUUUUUGAGGAAAGAUUAUUUAGAAAGAUUAAUAUUAACUAAUUUGUAGUUUAUGUUACAAGGUUUCCGAAUAUAUAAAGAAUGCUGAAAUCGGAGUUAUAACGAAGAAGUUAUGACCUAUCGAAGUUUCACGACAGAACCGACACGACGCCGAAUGACGUAAAAAGUGAAUUUACGUUAGAAUGAUAAUUAGCCUUAUAGAUCUAAACAAAAGUCGUAGAAUACGUUAAACCGAGAGCGUGCAUAAAAAGAACGCCCAAAUCUGACUUCGUAUGAGGAAGUUAUGAUUUUCCGAAGUUUCGACUUAGCAGUGUGCAGCCUGAAUACUCGAAUAUGAGAUCGAGCAGUUUUUAGCCGAAACAAUCUAAACGAGAAUCAAAGAUCUCAUUAGUAGUAGCAUAACAAUAAAAAGACAGACGAAAACGGAGUUCAGAUGAAGGAGUUAUGAAUUUCAAACGGAGUUUUCCUGUCCCGGUCUACUAAAAAUAAUAUAUUAAAAAUAAAGUCAAAAUUAGCCAAUGGAGUCUAAGCUAGAGUUGUAGAGCAUAAUCUCAACUACGCGUGGAUAUAAAGAACGUCGAAAACGGAGCUUGUAUGCGAAAAUUAAGAAUUUCUGAAGCUCGGGGUGCGAAACCCAAGGUGGUGCCAGAGCUCACGAGGUGAUAAUUACAAAACUCACGAGGUGAGUAGAUGAUGGACGUCUUCCAGGGCAAGUGGCCAUGAAGAACGCAAUGACAUAUCGAGCUCACGAGGUGAGAAUUAAAAACUCACGAGGUGAGAAUUAAAAACUCACAAGGUGAGCCUGGAAUUUUUGCCCUAUAAAUAGAAUUCAAGGGGCAACCGAUUUUGGUUGCUCCAUCUCUUCUCUCCCACUCCUGAUAUACUCUCUAAGCCCUAUUUUAACCCUCCGAAGCCCCGAUAUCAUCCCGAGACCCGAAGCAAGUCCCGAAGCCCGAAGAUCCCGAGAAGAAAAGAGUUUCCGAGCCGAAGCUCUGUCCGCGAGAGACCCGGUGUGUGAAGAUAUCCCGGUUUCACCGAAGAGUUACUACUUGCAGAGCCGUAGUGUUGUCCGAGGAUCGUCUUAUCAAGUGAUUGUAUAGUCCCUUUCAUAAACACGAGUAUAAUACAAGUAUUGUGUGAAUGUAUUAAGUAUAUGUUUGGGUGAGUGUGUAGUUACUUUCUUUUAAUACCUAGAUAUGAAGUAAUUGCUAUGAAAUACGUGCUAUGUGUUUAUAUUUUGUUGUUUAUUUGAGAGGGUGUUGAAGGAAUGUUUUGUAUAGGUAUUAAAUGAUUUUAAACUGUAUACGUAUUUUAAUAUCUACAAAUAUGUUGGGGUAAAUCGUGGGUAGAUGAAGUAGUCGGUGUGUGAUGAAAUAAUGUGAUGAGAGAUAGGUGAUGAUAAAAUGGUGAUGAUAAUUAGGUGACGAGAGGAAGGUGAUUAUAGUAAUGUGAUAAUAAAUAGGUGAUGAUAGAAUGGUGAUGAUAAUUAGGUAAGAAUAGAUAGGCUAUGAUUUACCAGUCCAGGCGAUGUUGUGACUGCGUAUUCAUGCGAUGAUAGCCUAACCCUUACUAUGAAUUACCAGUCCAAGCGAUGUUGUGACUGUGUAUUCAUGCGAUGAUAGCCUAACCCUUACUACGAAUUACCAGUCCAGGCGAUGUUGUGACUGCGUAUUCAUGCAAUGAUAACCUAACCCUUACUAUGACUUACGAGUCCAGGCGACGUUGCGACUGCGUAUUCAUGCGAUGAUCCUUAGGAAAAGUCCUUAGGAACAAACAUAUAAAGAAAUGUGAUGUAAGGAGAUGAGAGGUAAAUAUGAUGUAGGAGACGACCCUUAGGAUAAUUCCUUAGGGAAGGUACUUAAGAGAUAAAUGGAGAUAAUAGGAAUGGGUAAUUGGAAUGAUUGUUUGAUGAUUGAAUAUAUAUUUAUAUGAUAUAACAUUGUGGGUUGAAAACCCUAUAUGCCCACCAGGCUCCCAAGCCUGACCCACUCAGUUUUCUUUGUAUCACAGGUAUCGAUACAAAGACGUGUUUCACUAAGAGAUUUAAGGAGAUAUAAAUCAUUAGUGUAAUUGAAUGUAAGUUCUGUUUAUGCUUAUGUGUCUGUAUCGGAAUAUGACAUCCCGAGGUUUUAUUAUUAAAUGAAAAUACAUUCUCAUUGAGAAAUGUUUUGAUAAGUUAUUAUCAUAUCUUGUUUUGGGAACAAAUUCCGCAACCAUUUUCUUUAAAUGAUUACGCUGAUUUUAAAACAAAGCAUAAAGAAGUUGGUCUUUUCUGGCCGUGAAAUUGGGGAUGUUACAGUUGGUAUCAGAGCAUUAGUAUAAGCGAACUAGGAAUUUGUAGGAAAUUUCUAGACUUAAUCUUAGAAUGCUAAGUAUUGAUCGCGAGGAGUGUGUUUAAAAUAUGUUAGGUAGUACACCUAUAUUGAGACAAGCACUAGUUUAUUUUAGGAAUGAUGCCUAAAAUGCUUUUAUGUGCUAAUUGUUUUGUGUGAUAGCUAAAUCGAUGCUAUUAUUUGUUCGGAUCUAUGGUCUGUUGCCGACCGGAUCUGGAAACCUUAUGUGUGUAGGAUUCUAAGUGUAUGACUAUGAUAUUAUAACUAGCAUGUAAACGUUUCGGAGUGAUAAAUAGAUUUAUAUGUUUAUCGUAAAUGAAGCUUUCCUAUCUUAAGUUCUCGCCUAGUACACUGAACAUCUGCUUGGGUGUACAAAAGGUCAUGGUGAAGACACGUAGAGAAUUGAGUAAAUGGAGGAAAUGAAAAGGCUUAUAAUAGUGAGUGACACCUAUCGGAAGAUAUCGUAAGAGUGGUAUCUUACCUUUAGAAUAUGUCUUAUAAACAGUACGUUUAGAGGAGUACGGUACGUCUGAAGUACACCUUCGAUUGGCAGGAUGAUGGUGUUGGAUUAGUGUCUAAGUCCAUAACUAUUUUGGUAUGUACUUGACCCGAUGGUGAAUGGUCCUUUUGGGUUGCCUUCACCAAAGCAACUUGAUAGGAUGAAUUAUGGAGAGAAAGGAUUAAAUAUGAUUUAUUAAUAUAUUAUGAGAAUAAUAUAUAUUAAAGGAGAAAUCAUA
rnacentral:lncRNA from 1 species